GAUGAACGCUGGCGGCGUGCCUAAUACAUGCAAGUCGAGCGAACAGAUGAGGAGCUUGCUCCUCUGACGUUAGCGGCGGACGGGUGAGUAACACGUGGAUAACCUACCUAUAAGACUGGGAUAACUUCGGGAAACCGGAGCUAAUACCGGAUAAUAUAUUGAACCGCAUGGUUCAAUAGUGAAAGACGGUUUUGCUGUCACUUAUAGAUGGAUCCGCGCCGCAUUAGCUAGUUGGUAAGGUAACGGCUUACCAAGGCAACGAUGCGUAGCCGACCUGAGAGGGUGAUCGGCCACACUGGAACUGAGACACGGUCCAGACUCCUACGGGAGGCAGCAGUAGGGAAUCUUCCGCAAUGGGCGAAAGCCUGACGGAGCAACGCCGCGUGAGUGAUGAAGGUCUUCGGAUCGUAAAACUCUGUUAUUAGGGAAGAACAAAUGUGUAAGUAACGAUGCACGCCUUGACGGUACCGAAUCAGAAAGCCACGGUUAACUACGU
rnacentral:rRNA from 1 species